GACGAACGCUGGCGGCGUGCUUAACACAUGCAAGUCGAACGGUGAAGCCCUUCGGGGUGGAUCAGUGGCGAACGGGUGAGUAACACGUGAGCAACCUGCCCCUGACUCUGGGAUAACUACCGGAAACGGUGGCUAAUACCGGAUAUGACAUUGCCGGGCAUCCGGUGGUGUGGAAAGUUUUUCGGUUGGGGAUGGGCUCGCGGCCUAUCAGCUUGUUGGUGGGGUGAUGGCCUACCAAGGCGACGACGGGUAGCCGGCCUGAGAGGGCGACCGGCCACACUGGGACUGAGACACGGCCCAGACUCCUACGGGAGGGCAGCAGUGGGGAAGUAUUGCGCAAUGGGCGAAAGCCUGACGCAGCGACGCCGCGU
rnacentral:rRNA from 1 species